rnacentral:rRNA from 1 species
GAUGAACGCUGGCGGCGUGCCUAAUACAUGCAAGUCGAACGCACAGCGAAAGGUGCUUGCACCUUUCAAGUGAGUGGCGAACGGGUGAGAUAACACGUGGACAACCUGCCUCAAGGCUGGGGAUAACAUUUGGAAACAGAUGCUAAUACCGAAUAAAACUUAGUGUCGCAUGACAAAAAGUUAAAAGGCGCUUCGGCGUCACCUAGAGAUGGAUCCGCGGUGCAUUAGUUAGUUGGUGGGGUAAAGGCCUACCAAGACAAUGAUGCAUAGCCGAGUUGAGAGACUGAUCGGCCACAUUGGGACUGAGACACGGCCCAAACUCCUACGGGAGGCUGCAGUAGGGAAUCUUCCACAAUGGGCGAAAGCCUGAUGGAGCAACGCCGCGUGUGUGAUGAAGGCUUUCGGGUCGUAAAGCACUGUUGUAUGGGAAGAACCAGCUAGAAUAGGAAAUGAUUUUAGUUUGACGGUACCAUACCAGAAAGGGACGGCUAAAUACGUGCCAGCAGCCGCGGUAAUACGUAUGUCCCGAGCGUUAUCCGGAUUUAUUGGGCGUAAAGCGAGCGCAGACGGUUUAUUAAGUCUGAUGUGAAAGCCCGGAGCUCAACUCCGGAAUGGCAUUGGAAACUGGUUAACUUGAGUGCAGUAGAGGUAAGUGGAACUCCAUGUGUAGCGGUGGAAUGCGUA